rnacentral:rRNA from 1 species
UACGUAGGGUGCGAGCGUUGUCCGGAAUUACUGGGCGUAAAGAGCUCGUAGGUGGUUUGUCACGUCGUCUGUGAAAUUCCGGGGCUUAACCUCGGGCGUGCAGGCGAUACGGGCAAUACUUGAGUGCUGUAGGGGCGACUGGAAUUCCUGGUGUAGCGGUGAAAUGCGCAGAUAUCAGGAGGAACACCAAUGGCGAAGGCAGGUCUCUGGGCAGUUACUGACGCUGAGGAGCGAAAGCAUGGGUAGCGAACAGGAUUAGA